CGGUUUAUUAGCGUUUUCCUCUCAGUGUCCUGUACAGGAAAGCUGCUUUAGUUUUCUGUCUACACGGGUUAGCUUAGCUGUUAGUAAUACUCUGAUGAUCAGCAGGACAGACGAGACUCGCUCAAAAACACAAACAUAAAAACCCCAAAAAUCCCACAAAAUAAGAUUAUUUCUUUUAGACCACAGGUUACAUUUCAGAGAGCCGACACUCAGCUCCGCUCCCUCCCUGUCCGAGUCAGACUAAGAGUUAGGACCAUUACUAAAAAGGAAAAUAAAUUAAGCUGAGAGUGAAAAGUCUACUUAAAAAACUGAAAGUAACAGGAAUCAACAGUUUACACCAUCCGCAAAAGAAAUACGAUCAAUUCUCAUGAACUUAGAGCGAUCAAAUCAAAAUCAAUUCAGUGUCACACCUGAAGUCACCACCUGGAGGGGGAGGGGCACGAAAAGGUCUACAGCCAAUCACACGCUGCAUAAUCAAAGUUUGCACAGUUCAGAUAACUGCUGGUUUCAGCUGUAAUUCCCAGAUCAGACAGCAGGGGGCGGUAGGAGCAUUCCCAGCCUCAGCUAAGGCACGAAGUCUCUGAUGAGUCAAUCUGAGGAGGAGGCUGCAGGUCCCGGGAUAGAAACCGGACUCUGCAGGUCCUGGGACACCGGACUCUGCAGGUCCUGGGACACCGGACUCUGCUUUAAAUACAACAGCUGAUAUCCUACAGGGGGGCUCUGGUCCUUAUUUUACAGAUUUAGAGAUUUAUUUAUAGAAGUACUUUAAUUUAAUCAUCUCUGAGAAGAAUUAAAGCUCCUGUGAGGAGUUUCUCUGUUUUUUUUUCUUCUAUUCCAGAUUUUGUUUUUCUCUUACAGUCUUUCUUCCACAUAAAUCUCCAUCAUCGACACUCUGGGCUGUUACAGAAGACCGGUUUGACGUUUCCACGUCAUGAAACAAAAAUGAUGCAGGACAAACUCUGCAGAGACUGCUCUGUCCACAUGGAGGCGCCAAACCUGACACUAACCUUCCUCACAGGAGCUUGAAGCUUGUAUUUCAGAGAUUACAAGAUUAAUAUCUUAAUAAAAACAGAAAGCAGCAGGUUCACCUAA